CUACGGGAGGCUCCAGGCGCGAAACCUUUACAAUGCACGCAAGUGUGAUAAGGGAAUCCAGAGUGCUCAAGUUUUCUUGGGCUUUUGCCAAGAGCAAAUAUCUUGGCGAAUAAGUGGUGGGAAAGACUGGUGCCAGCCGCCGCGGUAACACCAGCGCCACGAGUGGGGAUCCUGUUUAUUUGGCCUAAAGCGUUCGUAGCUGGUUUAGUAAAUCUCUUGUGAAAUCGUUCGGCUUAACCGAACGGCGUGCAGGAAAGACUGCUAAGCUAGGGACUGGGAGGAGUCAGAGGUAUGCUGUGGGGAGCGGUAAAAUGCUAUAAUCCGCAGUGGACCACCUGUGGCGAAGGCGUCUGACUAGAACAGGUCCGACAGUGAGGAACGAAAGCCAGGGGAGCAAACCGGAUUAGAUACCCCAGUAGUC
rnacentral:rRNA from 1 species